rnacentral:rRNA from 1 species
AACGCGAAGAACCUUACCUAGACUUGACAUCUCCUGAAUUACUCGUAACGGAGGAAGCCCUUCGGGGCAGGAAGACAGGUGGUGCAUGGUUGUCGUCAGCUCGUGUCGUGAGAUGUUGGGUUAAGUCCUGCAACGAGCGCAACCCUUAUUGUUAGUUGCUACCAUUAAGUUGAGCACUCUAGCAAGACUGCCGCGGUUAACGCGGAGGAAGGUGGGGAUGACGUCAAAUCAUCAUGCCCUUUAUGCCUUGGGCUACACACGUGCUACAAUGGUCGGUACAACAAGAUGCAAUACCGCGAGGUGGAGCAAAUCUCAAAAACCGAUCCCAGUUCGGAUUGUAGGCUGCAACUCGCCUACAUGAAGCCGGAGUUGCUAGUAAUCGUAAAUCAGAAUGUUACGGUGAAUGCGUUCCCGGGUCUUGUACACACGC